rnacentral:misc_RNA from 1 species
UCCGGUUUGUCACCGGCAGUCUCAUUAGAGUGCCCUUGCGUAGCAACUAAUGAUAAGGGUUGCGCUCGUUGCGGGACUUAACCCAACAUCUCACGACACGAGCUGACGACAGCCAUGCAGCACCUGUGUUCUGGUUCCCGAAGGCACUCCUCUAUCUCUAAAGGAUUCCAGACAUGUCAAGGGUAGGUAAGGUUUUUCGCGUUGCAUCGAAUUAAUCCACAUCAUCCACCGCUUGUGCGGGUCCCCGUCAAUUCCUUUGAGUUUUAAUCUUGCGACCGUACUCCCCAGGCGGAUCACUUCACGCGUUAGCUACGUUACUCAAGAAGUCACCUUCCCGAACAACUAGUGAUCAUCGUUUAGGGCGUGGACUAC